rnacentral:rRNA from 1 species
UACAGAGGGGGCAAGCGUUGUUCGGAAUUACUGGGCGUAAAGGGCGCGUAGGCGGCCUGCUAAGUCGAACGUGAAAUCCCCGGGCUCAACCCGGGAACUGCGUCCGAUACUGGCAGGCUUGAAUCCGGGAGAGGGAUGUGGAAUUCCAGGUGUAGCGGUGAAAUGCGUAGAUAUCUGGAGGAACACCGGUGGCGAAGGCGGCGUUCUGGACUGCAACUGACACUGAGGAACGAAAGCCAGGGGAGCAAACGGG